GAGAAUAGAGAACUGUAUUGUUGUGUAUUGAUUAUGAAGAAGAUACAACACAUAUAUAUAUACAUAGAGAGUGAUAAGACGAGAUCUAGCCUACGAAUAUACACAAGAGAUAUUCUGAGGAAUAUACUAGAAUACAAUCUUAACGAGAAAUAUACACUUAUCACCUAUACGCCCCCGCAAGAUGAGCGACCAGAGGAGAGCCCAAUCUUGUAAUUCAAAAAUUCAUGUUGCGGUCUUGGUAACGGCUUUGUGAGAGCGUCUGCAAGUUGGUCUUCAGCUGGGACAUGAGUGACACGAAGAAACUUAGACUCAACAAGUUGACGAACAAAGUGAUAAUCAAUUGCAACAUGCUUCAUACGGGAAUGAAAAACGGGAUUUGCAGCGAGAUAAGUUGCACCAAUGUUGUCACAGUAUAUCACUGGUUGUGUAGACGGAGUAAGACCAAUCUCCUUCAUCAAGUAAACCACCCAACAGAGUUCAGACGCUGUGUCUGCAACAGAUUUAUACUCAGCCUCCGUUGAUGAACGAGCAACUGUUUUCUGCUUUUUAGAGGACCAGACAAUCGGAUGAGAGCCGAGGUAGACAAUGUAGGCGCCUGUAGACACAUAAGUAUCUUGAUCUUUCCCCCCAAGAAGCAUCGGAGAAAGCAUGUAGAUUCAGGUUGUUGUUGCGGCGAAGAAAAAUUCCCUGAUCACGAGUACCGGAUAAGUAACGCAGAACACGUUUAGCAGCCUGCCAGUGUAUAUCAGUGGGACGAUGCAUGAACUGCGAUAACUUAUUCACAGCAAAGGCAACGUCGGGUCUUGUAAAGUGAAGGUACUGCAGACUGCCGACAACAGUCCGAUAUUGACUACCAUCAGGGAGAGGCGUGCCGGAGUGAAGGUGCAGAGCACAGUUUUCGGACAGAGGAGUUGGAGCAGGGUUAGCAUCCAACAUGUUGGUGCGAGCAAGGAGAUCCGUGAUGUACUUGCGCUGCGUGAGGAGAAGACCUUUGGAAGAUCGAGUGGCCUCAAUACCCAAGAAGUAGCUGAGAGCGCCCAUGUCUUUGAGGGAGAAAUGACUACCCAAUAGAGAGAUGAAACGAUCAAUAGCUGAGGAGUUAUUACCUGUGACCACAAUGUCAACAACAUAAACGAGAACCAGAAGUAUUGUGCCAGGACGGAGCAAAAUAAAGAGCGAGGCAUCACACAGUGAGUUGGUGAAGCCGGUCUUGAGAAGGAAUGUGCGUAGCUCCGUGUACCAGGCGCGGGGAGCCUGUUUCAGACCGUAAAGGGCUUUAUUAAGCUUGCAGACAUGAUUCGCUUUGUCUCGAUCAACAAAACCAGAAGGCUGUGCUAUGUAAACAUCUUCAGUGAGCUUGCCCUGUAGGAAUGCAUUGUUGACAUCAAGCUGCCGUAGAUCCCAACCACGAUCCACCGCCUGACCGAGAACGAGACGAACAGUGGCCGCUUUUAUUACCGGACUGAAGGUUUCGGUGUAGUCAACUCCCGGUCGUUGAUGAAAACCCUUGGCGACGAAGCGAGCUUUGAACUUGUCAAUUUCACCAGACAGUAGGCGUUUGAUCCGGAAAACCCAUUUUGUGCCAACCAAUUUUUGCGACGAGUGAGGAGGGACAGGAUCCCAAGUUUGAAACUUCACUUGUGCAUCAAAUUCAGACCGCAUUGCCUUCCGCCACCGAUCAUCUUUCAACGCCUGAGCCACGGAUGUUGGUUCAGUCUCACGAGCAGAGGUAGCAACCAUCGCAAAUUUGGGAUUCGGUUUGACAAUGUUGUUUUUGGCUCGUGUGACCAUCGAGUGUUGAUUGCACGGCGGAGAAGAAGAUGAGUCAGUCGGAGGAGUGGGCGCUGGUGUUGGGCUGCCAGUAAUGACCUGAGAGCUUGAUGGGCCUGGAACAAGCCCAAAGGAAGAGGUUCGGGUAUUUCCACAAUCGGGCCCAGUGGUUGAUGUUUCUGUCACGGAGCUGUCUGGAGCAGCGUUUGCGGACGGAGGUGGAUUCGCCGGUGGUGAAGGAUCGGAGCCUAGGGGCGACUGAUCAGCUGACGACGGUGGAUUCGAGUGGCCAGGAAGUUGGAAUAGCGAAGGAAACCAGAGAGUGGAGGGAAGGUUAGGUGUUUGGCUGGAAGGAAGAUUUUGAAAAGGAAAAGAAGUCUCAUGAAAUUGGACGUGACGAGAGAUAAAAAUUCGUUUGGUUGAUGGAUUGAGGCAGAGAUAGGCACUUUGGGUUUGAGAGUAACCGAGAAAAACGCACGGAGAUGAGCGAGCUUCAAGUUUGUGACUGGUGUAUGGCCGGAGCCAGGGGUAGCAGAGGCAGCCAAAGACUUUUAGUUUGGUGUAAUUAGGAGUGAUCCCAAAGAGACAUUCAAAAGGAGAGGAGUUGGCAAGAGUGGAAGUGGGCAUUCGAUUUAUGAGAUAGGCUGCAGCGGUUAAGGCAUAACUCCAAUAGGAGAUCGGAAUGGAAGCAUGAGAAAGAAGGGCUAGGCCUGUUUCGACAAGAUGACGAUGCCGUCGUUCAGAGAAGCCAUUGUGUUGUGGUGUGUGAGGUGGGGAAGUGAGAUGGGUGAUACCGUUUUGGGCAAGGUAGGUGGCUAAAGCAAGAUAUUCUCCGCCAUUGUCAGAGUAAAGAGUGGUGAGCUUGGUUUGAAGUUUGUUUUCAGCAAGAUUUUUGUAGCGGGUGAAGGUCUCGAGAACAUCAGAUUUUCGGCGAAGAGGAUAUAACCAAAUAUAGUGUGUGAAGUGAUCGACAAAAAUAACAUAAUAUUUGUAGUUGUCGAUAGAGUGAACGGGGGAGGUCCAAACAUCGGAGUAGACGAGUUCAAUGGGUUUGCUAGAGGUGAGAGUGGAGGAGAAGAAGGGGAGUUUGUGACUUUUGGAGAUUGAACAAGCAUUGCAUAAAAGAGAUGGAUCUUUAUUAGAAACAGGCAAAGAGUAAUGAGAAACAAUUGUUUUAAGAGUAGAUAAAGAAGGGUGUCCAAGACGAGAAUGCCAAAGAGGCAGAGGACAUUUUAUUGAAAUUGUAAAAGCAGAAGCAGAGGAUCCAUCCAAUUGAAAUUCUGGCCAUUCAUAUCCACCAUUAGUCGUCCUUCCUGUGGUUAAUUGCGCCCCCGAGCUUAGAUCCUUCACCUGAAACAAAUCAGGAAAGAAUUCCACCGAGACAGAGUUAUCAACACAUAGUUUACGUACUGAGAUCAAGUUGCGAGCAAUAUCUGGGGCACGUAAAACAUUAUUAAGGGAGAUACGACGAUGAGAGUGUGGUAAAGAGAGGGAACCAGUGUGUGUGAUUGGUAGGCUCUCGCCGUUGCCGACAAUCACUUCAUCGGAGCCGGUGUAGGGAGAGUGAGUAGCGAGGUUGGCGAGAUCAGAGGUGAGGUGGUGUGUUGCUCCGGUGUCCAGAAGCCAUGCCGAGGGGUCUGGCGGAAGCACAGACGCAUUGUAUGCGCGUGGAGUCCAGGUGCUUGCUCCCUUGGAGUGAGACGGUUGUGACGUCUGAGUUAUCAGCUUGAAUUGGGGGCAGUACUUGGCAAUGUGACCUUGAGUACCACAAGCCUGACACUUUCCAAGAUAUGGGCGCCGAGAAGACUGCUGCUGCUGCGGAGAACGAGACACGUUGGCCUGCUGCUCAGAGGUGGAGUUAUUGUUGCGCCAGUUGCGAGACUUGUUCUGCACGUAAUUAGCGGUGACGGGGAAGGAUGACUGUUGUGACUGGACAGCAGUGAGAGCAGUUUCCCGGUUCAGUAGCUUCUCAUGCAGCUCAGCGAAUGAGAUGGGAAUGUCACGACUGUGAACCGACUCAAUGACGUGUUUGUAGUCAUCACCGAGACCAUCAAGAACGAUGUCAGUGAGAUCUUCACUGUCAACAGGGCUGCCGAGGAGUGUGAGAGCAUCGGCUUUGGUUUUGAUGAGUUGCAUGUACCCAUCAAUGUCCUUUGUGCCCUUAACACAAAGCUUGAGCUGUUGCUUGAGUUGUUUGAUGUGUCCCCGCGACGGCUUCCCGUACGUUCCGGCGAGGGUGGUCCAGGCUUGACGAGUGGUCUCACAGGUGGCGAUGAGCGGCUGCAGGGGUGUGUCAAUGGUACCCAUGAGAGCACUGUAGAGGAGACUAUCCUGUCGCUGCCAAGUGAGGAAGGAUGGAUUUGGCACAUCGACGUUGUUCUCCUUGGUCGUUGGUGAGGGAGGCGUGGUGUCCUCAAUGAAUCGAACGAGAUCAUGGCCCUUUAGUAAGGACUUGAUCUGAAUGCUCCAGGUGAGGUAGUUGGUUGGUCCCAACUUAGUGAUGUUGAUCAUGUUGAGGGCAGUGAGCGAAGACUGCGGAUCGGUGGGAUUAACGAGACUAGAAGAGGCAGCGGGAGGUAGGUUUGCCAUUGGAGAGAAAAAAAAAAGAGAAUCUGUUGUUGUUUAACAAGAGAGCUCUGAUACCAUGUAGAGAAUAGAGAACUAUAUUGUUGUGUAUUGAUUAUGAAGAAGAUACAACACAUAUAUAUAUAUACAUAGAGAGUGAUAAGACGAGAUCUAGCCUACGAAUAUACACAAGAGAUAUUCUGAGGAAUAUAGUAGAAUACAAUCUUAACGAGAAAUAUACACUUAUCACCUAUAUUUAGUCCAAACUAAUUCACUAUUUUCUAUAAGAACCGCAAACCCUAAUCCUAUCUCUUAAUUAGUCAGACAACAAGAAGACCGAGAAAAAGAAAUGGGCUCGACACAGAUCAAAGUGAUGUUCUUCUUUUAAUUUAUUAUCAUUGUUUCCUUGUAU
rnacentral:lncRNA from 1 species